rnacentral:rRNA from 1 species
AUUGAACGCUGGCGGCAGGCUUAACACAUGCAAGUCGAGCGGAGAUGAGGUGCUUGCACCUUAUCUUAGCGGCGGACGGGUGAGUAAUGCUUAGGAAUCUGCCUAUUAGUGGGGGACAACAUUCCGAAAGGAAUGCUAAUACCGCAUACGUCCUACGGGAGAAAGCAGGGGAUCUUCGGACCUUGCGCUAAUAGAUGAGCCUAAGUCGGAUUAGCUAGUUGGUGGGGUAAAGGCCUACCAAGGCGACGAUCUGUAGCGGGUCUGAGAGGAUGAUCCGCCACACUGGUACUGAAACAGGGCCCAGACUCCUACGGGAGGCAGCAGGGGGAAAUAUUGGACAAUGGGGGGAACCCUGAUACAGCCAUGCCGCGUGUGUGAAGAAGGCCUUAUGGUUGUAAAGCACUUUAAGCGAGGAGGAGGCUACUGAGACUAAUACUCUUGGAUAGUGGACGUUACUCGCAGAAUAAGCACCGGCUAACUCUGUGCCAGCAGCAGCCGCCGUAA